GAUGAACGCUGGCGGCGUGCCUAAUACAUGCAAGUCGAGCGAACAGACGAGGAGCUUGCUCCUCUGACGUUAGCGGCGGACGGGUGAGUAACACGUGGAUAACCUACCUAUAAGACUGGGAUAACUUCGGGAAACCGGAGCUAAUACCGGAUAAUAUAUUGAACCGCAUGGUUCAAUAGUGAAAGACGGUUUUGCUGUCACUUAUAGAUGGAUCCGCGCCGCAUUAGCUAGUUGGUAAGGUAACGGCUUACCAAGGCAACGAUGCGUAGCCGACCUGAGAGGGGGAGCGCCCACAAGGAAUCUGGGACACGCGCCAAACCCGUAGGGGAGGCAGGUGGAGGGAAUCUUCGGCAAGGGGCAAAAGCCUAAAGGAGCAACGCCGCGGAGGAAAUGAAGGUCUCGGGUUCGUAAAACCUUGAUUAUGGGGAAGAACAAAUGUGUAUGAAACCAGGGCCGUCUUAGCGGGACUAAAUAAGAAAGCCACGGAUAACUACGG
rnacentral:rRNA from 1 species